rnacentral:rRNA from 1 species
UACGUAGGUGGCAAGCGUUGUCCGGAUUUACUGGGCGUAAAGAGCGCGCAGGCGGUCGGAUCAGUCGAAUGUGAAAGCCCCCGGCUCAACUGGGGAGGGUCAUUCGAUACUGUCCGACUCGAAGGCAGGAGAGGGAUGCGGAAUUCCAGGUGUAGCGGUGAAAUGCGUAGAUAUCAAGCGGAACACCGGUGGCGAAGGCGGCCUUCUGGACGAUGACUGACGCUGAAGCGCGAAAGCGUGGGGAGCAAACAGG